rnacentral:snRNA from 1 species
CAGUAUUACAGCUCUUUCAGAAUUUGUCUAGCAGUUUCGAAACUCU